GAGGAAUAUUGGUCAAUGGACGCAAGUCUGAACCAGCCAUGCCGCGUGAAGGAUGAAGGCGUUCUGCGUUGUAAACUUCUUUUAUCUGGGAAGAAACCACCUUUUUCUAAGGGUGUUGACGGUACCAGAGGAAUAAGCACCGGCUAACUCCGUGCCAGCAGCCGCGGUAAUACGGAGGGUGCAAGCGUUAUCCGGAUUUACUGGGUUUAAAGGGUGUGUAGGCGGGCAUUUAAGUCUGGGGUGAAAUCUCCGAGCUCAACUCGGAAACUGCCUUGGAUACUAUUUGUCUUGAAUUAUGUUGAGGUUGGCGGAAUAUAACAUGUAGCGGUGAAAUGCAUAGAUAUGUUAUAGAACACCGAUUGCGAAGGCAGCUAACUAAGCAUAUAUUGACGCUGAGGCACGAAAGCGUGGGGAUCAAAC
rnacentral:rRNA from 1 species